rnacentral:rRNA from 1 species
UACAGAGGGUGCGAGCGUUAAUCGGAAUUACUGGGCGUAAAGGGCGCGUAGGUGGUUUAUUAAGAUGGAUGUGAAAUCCCUGGGCUUAACCUAGGAACUGCAUUCGUGACUGGUAAACUGGAGUACAGUAGAGGGUAGUGGAAUUUCCGGUGUAGCGGUGAAAUGCGUAGAGAUCGGAAGGAACACCAGUGGCGAAGGCGGCUCCCUGGACUGAUACUGACACUGAGGCGCGAGAGCGUGGGGAGCAAACAGG